rnacentral:rRNA from 2 species
AGUGAAGCGGCAACAGCUCAGAUUUGGAAUCUGGCCCCCCCCGGGGGCCCGAGUUUGUAAUCUGGAGAGGAUGCUUCUGGCGCGGCGCCCGGCGAGUUCCCUGGAACGGGACGCCGGAGAGGGUGAGAGCCCCGUACUCCGGGCCGCCUAGCCUCUGCGAAGCUCCUUCGACGAGUCGAGUAGUUUGGGAAUGCUGCUCUAAACGGGAGGUAAAUUUCUUCUAAAGCUAAAUACCGGCCAGAGACCGAUAGCGCACAAGUAGAGUGAUCGAAAGAUGAAAAGCACUUUGAAAAGAGGGUCAAACAGUACGUGAAAUUGUUGAAAGGGAAGCGCCCGUGGCCAGACUUGCGCCCCGCGGCUCACCCGGCGGACCCCGCCGGGGCACGCCGCGGGGCGCAGGCCAGCAUCGGCUUCCCCAGGGGGACAAGGACGGCGGGAACGUGGCUCCUCCCGGGAGUGUUAUAGCCCGCCGCGCCAUGCCCCUGGGGGGGCACGAGGAGCCGCGUCUU